AAGACUGAAUUUUCAGGAAUCAUUUCUAUGGUUUUUGUUAUUUGGAAAUGUGAUUUAAGAGUGUUUCUCUCCCAACUUACAAUGAUGAGCUGUAAUACUUUUUUUCUGAGAGUGAAUUGACGAUGGAACAAUGACUUCGAUCACAAGUUCUUUCAUUGAUGAGUGUUCAUUUUGCCUUUGGCAAUGUUAAAGUGAGGAGUAUGAUCUGAGUGGU